GAUGAACGCUGGCGGCGUGCCUAAUACAUGCAAGUCGAGCGAACAGAUAAGGAGCUUGCUCCUUUGAAGUUAGCGUCGGACGGGUGAGUAACACGUGGGUAACCUCCCUAUAAGACUUGGAUAUCUUCGGGAGACAGGAGCUAUUAUCGGAUAACUUUUGUAACCGCAUGAUUCUAAAGUGAAAGAUGGUUUUGCUCUCAUUUAUAGAUGGUCGCGGGCCGUCUUAGCUAGUUGGUAAGGUAAGGUCUUACCAUGGCGACGCGAGGUAGCGGCCCGGAGAGGGUGUGCGCGCACCGUGGAACUGAGACACGGUCCAGACUCCUACGGGAGGCAGCGGUAGGGAGUCGUCCGGAAUGGGCGAAAGCCUGCCGAAGCCACGCCGCGUGAGUGAUGAAGGGUUUCGGCUCGUAAAACUCUGUUAUUAGGGAAGAACAAAUGUAUAGGUAACUGUGCACAUCUUGACGGUACCUAAUCAGAAAGCCACGGCUAACUACGUG
rnacentral:rRNA from 1 species